rnacentral:siRNA from 1 species
UCUUUUUCAAUGAGUGCCUUUG